GACGAACGCUGGCGGCGUGCUUAACACAUGCAAGUCGAACGGAAAGGCCCUGCUUUUGUGGGGUGCUCGAGUGGCGAACGGGUGAGUAACACGUGAGUAACCUGCCCUUGACUUUGGGAUAACUUCAGGAAACUGGGGCUAAUACCGGAUAGGAUCUCCUGCUGCAUGGUGGGGGUUGGAAAGUUUCGGCUGUUGGGGAUGGACUCGCGGCUUAUCAGCUUGUUGGUGGGGUAGUGGCUUACCAAGGCUUUGACGGGUAGCCGGCCUGAGAGGGUGACCGGCGACAAUGGGACUGAGAGACGGACCAGACGCGUACGGGAGGCAGCAGGGGGGAAUAUUGCACAAUGGGCGGAAGCCUGAUGCAGCAACGCCGCGUGCGGGAUGACGGCCUUCGGGUUGUAAACAGCUGUAGCCUGUGACGAAGCGUGAGUGACGGUAAUGGGUAAAGAAGCACCGGCUAACUACGUG
rnacentral:rRNA from 1 species